UACGUAGGGUGCGAGCGUUAAUCGGAAUUACUGGGCGUAAAGCGUGCGCAGGCGGUUCGUCGUGUCUGAUGUGAAAGCCCCGGGCUCAACCUGGGAAUGGCAUUGGAAACUGGCGGACUAGAGUGUGGCAGAGGGGGGUGGAAUUCCGCGUGUAGCAGUGAAAUGCGUAGAGAUCGGGAGGAACACCCGUGGCGAAGGCGGCCACCUGGGCCGACCCUGACGCUGAGGCGCGAAGGCGUGGGGAGCGAACGGG
rnacentral:rRNA from 1 species